rnacentral:rRNA from 1 species
CCUACGGGAGGCAGCAGUGAGGAAUAUUGGUCAAUGGGCGUAAGCCUGAACCAGCCAAGUCGCGUGAGGGAUGAAGGUUCUAUGGAUCGUAAACCUCUUUUAUAAGGGAGUAAAGUGCGGGACGUGUCCCGUUCUGUAUGUACCCUAUGAAAAAGGAUCGGCUAACUCCGUGCCAGCAGCCGCGGUAAUACGGAGGCUGCGAGCGUUAUCCGGAUUUAUUGGGUUUAAAGGGUGCGUAGGCGGGAUGUUAAGGCAGCGGUGAAAAUUGGUGGGUCAACCCUAGACAGGCCGUUGAAACUGGUAGGCUUGAGUAAGUUAGAGGCAGGCGGAAUGCGUGGUGUAGCGGUGAAAUGCAUAGAUAUCACGCAGAACCCCGAUUGCGAAGGCAGCAUACCGGGGCAUGACUGACGCUGAUGCACGAAAGCGUGGGGAUCGAACAGGAUUAGAUACCCGAGUAGUC